AUGGCCUCCACGGGCGCCGGCGGGAUCGUGGUCACCAUGAAGGGCCUCGCCGCCAGCGACGGCGCCGGCGUCCUGUCGAUGCGGCGCGUCAAGAGGAGCUUCGAGUCGGCCUUCGCCGGGCUGCCGUCGCCCGCGGUCUUCGGCGGCGAGACGCCCCUGGUCGUCACGCGGGCGAGGAACUACACCGCGCGCGACAUGCCGGAGUUCCUGUCGGCGGCCGGGCUCCCGGCGUCCGCCGUGAGCCUGUACCUGUCGCGGGCGCUGCCGGUGGCGCUCAACCUGAGGGCGCCGCUGGUGCCCAUGACGUGCGUCAACGGCGUGGGCGUGCCCACCCCGGAGAAGCUGGUAUACUGGGACGGCGACGUCGACAAAGACCCUGAGGUGCUGCACGGGGACGGCGACGGAGUGGUCAAUCUGGCGAGCAUACUUGCCCUGGACGCGGUUUUCGGUGAGGAUCCGGGGCAGCGGGGAUGCUACAGGUCUAUCAAAAUGGCAAACACCACCCACAUCGGCGUCGUGUCGGAUGCUUUCGCCGUUGAGCGUCUAGUCCAUGAGAUUCUUGAAGCAGGUCGCGCCAACCAGACAUGUGUGCUACCCACUGCCGGCCACUGGCCACUCAGAAUAUGA
rnacentral:rRNA from 1 species